GAACGCACAUUGCGCCCGCUGGUACUCCGGCGGGCACGCCUGUCCGAGCGUCAUUUCAACCCUCAAGCCCUCCUUCGGGAUGGGCCUGGUGUUGGGGCUCGGCCGCCAUCUCCGGCGGCCGUCCCCUAAAUACAGUGGCGGUCACGUCGCGACUCCUUUGCGUAGUAGAAACACCUCGCUCCGGAUAGCAACGCGGUCCACGCCGUAAAACCCCCAAUUUUCAAUGGUUGACCUCGGAUCAGGUGGGAAUACCCGCUGAACUUAAG
rnacentral:misc_RNA from 1 species